GAUGAACGCUGGCGGCGUGCCUAAUACAUGCAAGUCGAGCGAACAGAUGAGGAGCUUGCUCCUCUGACGUUAGCGGCGGACGGGUGAGUAACACGUGUAUAACCUACCUAUAUGACUGGGAUAACUUCGGGAAACCGGAGCUAAUACCGGAGAAUAUAUUGAACCGCAUGGUUCAAUAGUGAAAGACGGUUUUGCUGUCACUUAUAGAUGGAUCCGGGCGGCAUUAGCUAGUUGGUAAGGUAACGGCUUACCAAGGCAACGAUGCGUAGCCGACCUGAGAGGGUGAUCGGCCACACUGGAACUGAGACACGGUCCAGACGCCUACGGGAGGCAGCAGAAGGGAAUCUUCGGCACAGGGGGGAAGCCUGACGGAGCAACGGCGCGUGAGUGAUGAAGGUCUGCGGAUCGUAAAACUCUGUUAUUAGGGAAGGACAAAUGUGUAAGUAACUAUGCACGGCGUGACGGUACCUAAUCAGAAAGCCACGGCUAACUACGUG
rnacentral:rRNA from 1 species